rnacentral:misc_RNA from 1 species
CUGGCUCUCAAACAACAUUGCAAACAAGGGUUGAACACGAGAUCCAUGAUUUUUGCAGCUAUAUUUUUGUCAAUAUAGACUUCAAACAAUGUCUAGAGCACUUGUGCACCUGCUGAAUGGAUCCACUUAUCACUAUUUUUUAUUUCAGUACAUUUUCAUUUCUUUAAAAGAAUGUUACUUUACAGUAACUUUAGUUGAAUUCAUGUAAUAUUUUACAUUCUGGGUUUACAUAUUCUCAAUGACUCUGCUUUUGGCAUUUUGUUUUAAUUAAGACUUGAUGUUCUCG